CCUAGCUUGGGGUUUAGACCCCACACUUCUUGGUGGUAAUGCCACCCCCCACCCCUCCCCGCCCCUGUCACUGAAAUAGCCCUCUGGAACUUCAGCUGCCUAUGGGAACCCAGUCAGUGCUCUCAUGCCUCUGCACUUUUGCCAGUCUUGAUGUGGCUUCUUCUGUAAGUCCUUGGUUAACCCUUCUCUCCAGCUAGUGUUCAGUUGGUUAUUCAGGAUCAUUUUUGUUAAUUUAGUUGUAAUUCCAUCUGGCCCUAGGAGGAGGUUAGUGCAGUUUGCACCUAAUCCGCUGCCAUUUGGAUCUCUGUUUUGAUAGUUGGAUGAUUAAUUUGUAGUUGUAGUUAAAAGCCAAGUGAUUUGUUGUAGACAAAUAAUCAUUAUUUGGGGCAUUGUUUUUGCCUUGCUUUAGUAUAAGUUUAAUAAUCUUCUGGUUUAUAAGUAAUAUUAUUUAUCUAAAUAAAAAUAAGCUUAUACUUAAAAAAAAAUCCCAGAAACUUUGUAGCACUGUGUGAUAGGAAAAAUUGGGAAAACCAGUGUUUAUUAGUGGGUAUUGUAUUCAUAGGUUGUAAUGUUAUAAAUGCAUUAAGAGUCAUUGGUCAUAUCAAGUAGACAACAUUGCACCAGAAGGUUUGAUGAAUGAUAAAAACAUAAUACUGUUUGUGAAAGUUUUCCUGUACCACAUAUUGUUGAUAGAUGUGUAUGUCUUCUCUCUCCUGUUUUCCCUCCCUCCCGCCUUCCCUCCUUUUCUCCUUCCUCCCUCCUCUCAGUGUUCAGUUUUCCCUAGCUCCCUGGUACAGAAUCUUAUCUAAGUCUGCCUCAGUCCUUGAGGACUUCUUAAAAUGCCAACUCUUUUUUUCCCUUCUUAUUAGAACUACUUUAUUUAGUCCAUAUUAAUGCAUGAGAUUUUAUUUUCUUUAGCUUUUUAGAUCUAUUUGUAUUUUUAAAAGAUAUUUCUUGUAAGGUGAGUGAAUAAGUUAGAUGACUAAUAGGCAGUGUGACAUGAAAAUCUUUACAUAUUGUGGGCAUCAUGGAAGAAAAUUUUUUGUAGGGGGUGGUUGAAACUGGGGAGCAGCCCAUCCUGUAAAUUUGUAUUAUGUGAACUUAUAUCUGAUCCUGGGAUUCUAAAUUGUUUCUGCUUUUGUUAUUGUUGUUAAUACAUUUGGUUAGUUGGUUAGUUAGUGAAUAUAAAGCCCCCUCCUCUCCCACUCCCCAAUUUUGCUGUCCUGCCCUUAUCCAUUUUGUAUGAUGUUGGGGUUUAUGACUGGAAUGAGCCGAGAGAGUCAUUUGUAAGUCUCCUUUGGAAGUCUGAUAAUCGGUGUUUCUGGUGUCUUCUAGAAGAAGGUCUUGUAAAUUUGAGACUUGUUUAGAUGAGCUCAUCCAAAUUCUGUACUUCUGUCCUUUUCAUUCAUUCAUAAGUAUUGGGUACCUACUAUAGAUGUGCAUUGCUAGGGACUGGGAAUGUGAUGAUGAACAAGCCAUUGUGGGCCUCACUCUCCAUCAUCUUGUAAUCUAGUUGGGAAGUUGGGUGUGUAACAGACAAUUAAGCAUCUCAAAGUGGAUGCAAAGUGAUGGCAGAAGAAUCGAGUGCUAUAGGAAAACCUUAUCCAAACUUGGCAGGAUGAAGGUCAGGGAAUGUUUCUUGGAGGUUAAGAUGUUGGGGAGAGGUGCAAAAUCGGGACACUAUGGCAAUGGUUGGCAAAAUUUUUCUGUAAGGAACCAGAUAAUAAAUAUUUCAGGCUUUCCAGGCCACAUGAUCCCUUUCUCAACUGCUACAACCCUGCCGUUGUGGUGCAAAAGCAGCCAUGGAUAGUAAAGAAAUGAACAAGUGUGAUGGUGUUUCAGUCAGACUUUAUGGAUGGACACU